UACAGAGGUCCCGAGCGUUGUUCGGAUUUAUUGCGCGUAAAGGGUGCGUAGGCGGCGGAGUAAGUUGGGUGUGAAAUCCCGGGGCUCAACCUCGGAAUUGCAUUCAAUACUGCUUCGCUCGAGUACUGGAGAGGAGGCUGGAAUUUACGGUGUAGCAGUGAAACGCGUAGAUAUCGUAAGGAAGGCCGGUGGCGAAAGCGAGCCUCUGGACAGUUACUGACGCUGAUGCACGAAGGCCAGGGGAGCAAACGGG
rnacentral:rRNA from 1 species